rnacentral:rRNA from 1 species
UGGGGAAUAUUGCACAAUGGGCGCAAGCCUGAUGCAGCCAUGCCGCGUGUGUGAAGAAGGCCUUCGGGUUGUAAAGCACUUUCAGCGGGGAGGAAGGCGAUAAGGUUAAUAACCUUGUCGAUUGACGUUACCCGCAGAAGAAGCACCGGCUAACUCCGUGCCAGCAGCCGCGGUAAUACGGAGGGUGCAAGCGUUAAUCGGAAUUACUGGGCGUAAAGCGCACGCAGGCGGUCUGUCAAGUCGGAUGUGAAAUCCCCGGGCUCAACCUGGGAACUGCAUUCGAAACUGGCAGGCUAGAGUCUUGUAGAGGGGGGUAGAAUUCCAGGUGUAGCGGUGAAAUGCGUAGAGAUCUGGAGGAAUACCGGUGGCGAAGGCGGCCCCCUGGACAAAGACUGACGCUCAGGUGCGAAAGCGUGGGGAGCUAACAGG